UCCUUCGUAGUGCAGUGGUCAGUACGCUUGACGCGUAUUCGAGAGAUCCGUGGUUCGAGUCCCGGCAAGGGCA
rnacentral:tRNA from 1 species